UUGAACGCUGGCGGCAUGCCUUACACAUGCAAGUCGAACGGUAACAGGUCUUCGGAUGCUGACGAGUGGCGAACGGGUGAGUAAUACAUCGGAACGUGCCCGACCGUGGGGGAUAACGCAGCGAAAGCUGUACUAAUACCGCAUACGAUCUACGGAUGAAAGCGGGGGACUCGCAAGAGCCUCGCGCGGACGGAGCGGCCGAUGGCAGAUUAGGUAGUUGGUGGGAUAAAAGCUUACCAAGCCGACGAUCUGUAGCUGGUCUGAGAGGACGACCAGCCACACUGGGACUGAGACACGGCCCAGACUCCUACGGGAGGCAGCAGUGGGGAAUUUUGGACAAUGGGCGAAAGCCUGAUCCAGCCAUGCCGCGUGCAGGAUGAAGGCCUUCGGGUUGUAAACUGCUUUUGUACGGAACGAAAGGACUCCUUCUAAUAAAGGGGGUUCAUAACGGUACUGUAAGAAUAAGCACCGGCUAACUACGU
rnacentral:rRNA from 1 species